AGCUGUUAAUGGGCUUUUGGGUUGAAGGCCCUGUGUUUGAAAUAUAGCCCUAAAGACAUUUUGAAUGGAACAUUUACGUCUUUCGGAACUAACUUGCGAGAACGAAGAGAGAGCUUUCUUCAAGAUCUUUGGCAAACGAAUCCACAGUUAUAAGGAUGUAUGGUUUUGCAUGUUACAUGGAGGACAACCAAAGAAAAUGUUUGGUUCUCCCAAAAAAAUAUAAAGAAUGGAUAACAGACUUUAACUAUCCAUUGGGCUUUGUGAAAAUGCGGACAACGAAUGGGCAGGUCUUUGAAGUGAAGGUAUAUGAGUUAGCAAACUUCUGUUAUUUUUACAAUGGGUGGUAUUCUGUUGUUGAAACUUUGAAGCUACAAUCUGGAUCCUGGCUGGUAUUUCAGUAUGAAGAAGCAUUAUCAAGUUUCCGAAUAUUUUAUU